UUUGGCUAACCUGCAGAAAGCCUAUUGUCAUGCUUCACUGAGCUCUCUUCCCUCUUUAUGGUUAAGUGAACCUCAAAACAAUGACAAAGAAAUAUGCACUGAGUCACAUAUUCUAAGAAAUAGACUGUACUCUCCUCAAAUCGAAAUAACGGCACUUUAAUUCUUGGAUUUUCCACAUUUUCGUUGCUAAAGCUCCUAUUUGCUUUCUCUGAAUCUGUAUCAGUUCAUGCAGUUCUGCCAAGUGGGGAAGCUUUGCAGGACACUGCCACUGUAGCACUUGAAAUAUUAAGAUGAACAGAACAAGCAAAAGGUGGGAAAACUGGAAAGAUUGAAUGUCCUUUGGAGUUCACAGAGGUUUGGCAGUGGGAGGAGAAAAACAAAACGAAGCAUAGUGGGAGUGUUGAACAGACUUUCCCAAGAUCCCCAGGGAAAUCGACAAAGAGUAUUGCUUCCUUGCAAAUUGGCAGGAAGGUUUCCAGCAUAAUAAAAGAGUGCAGAAAAAACAACUUAAUUCAAGGAUAAAACUGGGAAUAAGUAGAAGAGAAGA